UACGAGGGGGGCGAGCGUUGUUCGGAAUUAUUGGGCGUAAAGGGUGCGUAGGCGGUUUGGUAAGUCUUGUGUGAAAUCUACAGGCUCAACUUGUAGUCUGCACGAGAAACUGCCGGGCUUGAGUAUGGGAGAGGUGAGUGGAAUUCCUGGUGUAGCGGUGAAAUGCGUAGAUAUCGGAAGGAACACCAGUGGCGAAAGCGGCUUCCUGGUCCAGCACCGACGUUCAGGCACGAAAGCGUGGGGAGCAAACAGG
rnacentral:rRNA from 1 species